rnacentral:lncRNA from 1 species
UAAGCCUUGUGGGGUUCCGAUCGGCAUUUCGAGUAAUGAGUGCCUAUCGAGACGACGCGGUUGUUGUCAUGGGCCCGAUGGGAGUUUCUGGUCGUGGCAGUAUUUUUAUGAGAAACUCAACAGAGACUUGUAAAUAAUUUAGGACUCUAGGUUAGCAACUUAAUCUAUUAAACUAAGUUAAGAGAGAGAAACAAUAAUCAGAUAAGUAUUGAGGAAUAUCAUAAUCUUAGGUCUAGUAGUCAUUCACAUUUAAUAAAGUAAAUUUCCAUAGAUUAGUUUUAGGUUUCGUUAUUAGAUUCAAAUCCUUCUUUUUAAUUGUUUAAAUAAAAUUAGGGUGUGAUAAUUUUAGUAAUUAACAGUAAAAAUUAAUUCAAUUCUCUGUGGGAUCAAC